AGCGAACGCUGGCGGCAGGCCUAACACAUGCCAGUCGAACGGAUCCUUCGGGAUUAGUGGCGGACGGGUGAGUAACACGUGGGAACGUGCCCUUUGGUUCGGAACAACUCAGGGAAACUUGAGCUAAUACCGGAUGUGCCCUUCGGGGGAAAGAUUUAUCGCCAUUGGAGCGGCCCGCGUCUGAUUAGCUAGUUGGUGAGGUAACGGCCCACCAAGGCGACGAUCAGUAGCUGGUCUGAGAGGAUGAUCAGCCACACUGGGACUGAGACACGGCCCAGACUCCUACGGGAGGCAGCAGUGGGGAAUCUUGCGCAAUGGGCGAAAGCCUGACGCAGCCAUGCCGCGUGAAUGAUGAAGGUCUUAGGAUUGUAAAAUUCUUUCAGCGGGGACGAUAAUGACGGUACCCGCAGAAGAAGCUCCGGCUAACUUCGU
rnacentral:rRNA from 1 species